UAAUAGACGUACCCGGGUAGUCCAUGCCGUAAACGAUGAGUGACUAAGUGUUAGGGGGGUUUCCGGCCCCCUUAGUGCUGCAGCUAACGCAUUAAGCACUCCGCCUGGGGGAGUACGACCGCAAGGUUGAAACUCAAAGGAAUUGACGGGGGGCCCGCACAAGCGGUGGAGCAUGUGGUUUAAUUCGAAGCAACGCGAAGAACCUUACCAGGUCUUGACAUCCCAGUGACCACUCUAGAGAUAGAGUUUUCCCCUCGGGGGACAUUGGUGACAGGUGGUGCAUGGUUGUCGUCAGCUCGUGUCGUGAGAUGUUGGGUUAAGUCCCGCAACGAGCGCAACCCUUAAUCUUAGUUGCCAUCAUUUAGUUGGGCACUCUAAGGUGACUGCCGGUGACAAACCGGAGGAAGGUGGGGAUGACGUCAAAUCAUCAUGCCCCUUAUGACCUGGGCUACACACGUGCUACAAUGGACGAUACAAACGGUUGCCAACUCGCGAGAGGGGANCUAAUCCGAUAGGUCGUUCUCAGUUCGGAUUGUAGCUGC
rnacentral:rRNA from 1 species